AUACGUAGGGUGCAAGCGUUAAUCGGAAUUACUGGGCGUAAAGCGUGCGCAGGCGGUUAAGUAAGACAGAUGUGAAAUUCCCGGGCUCAACCUGGGAACUGCAUUUGUGACUGCUUGACUAGAGUGCGGCAGAGGGGAGUGGAAUUCCGCGUGUAGCAGUGAAAUGCGUAGAUAUGCGGAGGAACACCGAUGGCGAAGGCAACUCCCUGGGCCUGCACUGACGCUCAUGCACGAAAGCGUGGGGAGC
rnacentral:rRNA from 1 species